UGGGGAAUUUUGGACAAUGGGGGAAACCCUGAUCCAGCCAUCCCGCGUGUGCGAUGAAGGCCUUCGGGUUGUAAAGCACUUUUGGCAGGAAAGAAACGUCAUGGGUUAAUACCCCGUGAAACUGACGGUACCUGCAGAAUAAGCACCGGCUAACUACGUGCCAGCAGCCGCGGUAAUACGUAGGGUGCAAGCGUUAAUCGGAAUUACUGGGCGUAAAGCGUGCGCAGGCGGUUCGGAAAGAAAGAUGUGAAAUCCCAGAGCUCAACUUUGGAACUGCAUUUUUAACUACCGGGCUAGAGUGUGUCAGAGGGAGGUGGAAUUCCGCGUGUAGCAGGGAAAUGCGUAGAUAUGCGGAGGAACACCGAUGGCGAAGGCAGCCUCCUGGGAUAACACUGACGCUCAUGCACGAAAGCGUGGGGAGCAAACAG
rnacentral:rRNA from 1 species